rnacentral:rRNA from 1 species
UGCAAGUCGACGGUGAACACGGAGCUUGCUCUGUGGGAUCAGUGGCGAACGGGUGAGUAACACGUGAGCAACCUGCCCCUGACUCUGGGAUAAGCGCUGGAAACGGCGUCUAAUACUGGAUAUGUGACGUGACCGCAUGGUCUGCGUCUGGAAAGAAUUUCGGUUGGGGAUGGGCUCGCGGCCUAUCAGCUUGUUGGUGAGGUAAUGGCUCACCAAGGCGUCGACGGGUAGCCGGCCUGAGAGGGUGACCGGCCACACUGGGACUGAGACACGGCCCAGACUCCUACGGGAGGCAGCAGUGGGGAAUAUUGCACAAUGGGCGCAAGCCUGAUGCAGCAACGCCGCGUGAGGGACGACGGCCUUCGGGUUGUAAACCUCUUUUAGCAGGGAAGAAGCGAAAGUGACGGUACCUGCAGAAAAAGCGCCGGCUAACUACGUGCCAGCAGCCGCGGUAAUACGUAGGGCGCAAGCGUUAUCCGGAAUUAUUGGGCGUAAAGAGCUCGUAGGCGGUUUGUCGCGUCUGCUGUGAAAUCCGGAGGCUCAACCUCCGGCCUGCAGUGGGUACGGGCAGACUAGAGUGCGGUAGGGGAGAUUGGAAUUCCUGGUGUAGCGGUGGAAUGCGCAGAUAUCAGGAGGAACACCGAUGGCGAAGGCAGAUCUCUGGGCCGUAACUGACGCUGAGGAGCGAAAGGGUGGGGAGCAAACAGGCUUAGAUACCCUGGUAGUCCACCCCGUAAACGUUGGGAACUAGUUGUGGGGUCCAUUCCACGGAUUCCGUGACGCAGCUAACGCAUUAAGUUCCCCGCCUGGGGAGUAC